rnacentral:rRNA from 1 species
GCGUUCUUGAACUCUUGUAACUCGGUUCGUCCGUCCCUCUCGUUUUUCAACCGGGAACAGGUACACAACGCCGCACACUUAGGGUCCCGCGAAGAGGUAACCGUACCACCGUACGUACGUACGUGCCUUCGAUGGAUCGAUCGGAACGACACGCACGGUUUCCUCUUAACGGGACGCUAAGUGGAGCCGACGAGACGAUGACACUAGGUUGUCUCUUAGUCGGUGUCUCUAGUUAAAUCGAGGUACUUUUUAGACCACCUGGAGCCGCCCGCCGUACAAUAGAACCUCUAAAGUGACUUUACGUGGAAGGCGUGUUCUGCUCAGAACUAUCCCGAGCGCUAGAAGCUCAGGAAUAGAAGUUACGACUCUCGACGUCGCUUUACUGUGCUACAGUGAGUCGUUCCUACUAUUUCAUAUCGACUGUUCUAUUUGUAGUUCACCUUUAUAACAUAGUGGAAGGGAGUUAAUUUUAUAAAGAUAGUGGCAAACUAGUUACUCUUUACGUACAUAGGGUACUGUAUGUCGGUGAAAGGUGUGUCAUAAUUGAUUCUAGAG